rnacentral:lncRNA from 12 species
CCAUGCCACAGGACUACAGCGCUCCGCAUAUCUUAGAGAUGAGCAGGGCCACUGAGUAGAUGCUCAGCACAUGCUGACCUCCCCCGGGACAACGCGCUGGACAGCAUCACCUGGUAGCCCGAAGAGAGAUGAAGGUCUAACCUGGAGGAGCCCUCACCUCUGCUGCGUCCCCAAGCUGCAGCUUCCUGGUGCCAUGAGGCUCAGAGACAGAAUUUGCACCUUCUCCCCCUUUGUCUCGCUGCACCUCGGCCAUCCCCAUGGGGCAGCGGCGAGUACGAAAUGCUGUGGGACCCCUGGGGGGCUCAGCGGUGGAGCGCCUGCCUUCAGCUCAGGUCAUGAUCCCGGGAUUGAGUCCCACAUCGGGCUGCCCGCUGGGAGCCUGCUUCUCCCUCUGCCUGUGUCUCUGCCUCUCUCUCUGUCUCUCAUGAAUAAAUAAAUAAAUCUUAAAAAAAAGAAAUGCCGUGGAGUUAUGCUACACUUGACGUCAGGCCCAGCUGCCAGCCAAGGGGUGGAACGUGAGAAGGUGAGGCACAGCUGGGCCGGAACCCCUGGGGCUGCUUGGAGACCCAGCUGAGGGUAAGGAGACUCCUCAGUGAGGACGGGAGGCAGCUUACGCACCAGAGCCUGUGAGUGGAAGCGGGGAUUUGUGGGCAGGCUGGAAGGACAGGUGAACAGAGGACAGCUGGCCCCAGGCUCUGGGACCCUCGAGGGGGCCGUCCCCCCACUUCCCCUGCCACGGGCUUCUCGGGCCAGGUGGGGCCA